UUCUUCGGAAUGAAAUUAAGUGGAUUAGUGGCGAACGGGUGAGUAACACGUGAGUAACCUGCCUUACACAAGGGGAUAGCCUUUGGAAACGAAGAAUAAUACCCUAUAAAGUCAAUUUAUCGCAUGAUGAAAUGACCAAAGAUUUAUCGGUGUAAGAUGGACUUGCGUCUGAUUAGCUAGUUGGUGAGAUAAAAGCCCACCAAGGCGACGAUCAGUAGCCGGCUUGAGAGAGUGUACGGCCACAUUGGGACUGAGACACGGCCCAAACUCCUACGGGAGGCAGCAGUGGGGAAUUUUGCACAAUGGGGGAAACCCUGAUGCAGCGACGCCGCGUGAUUUAGAAGGCCUUCGGGUUGUAAAAAUCUUUUUUAUGGGAUGAAAAUGACAGUACCAUAAGAAUAAGGUCCGGCUAAAUACGUGCCAGCAGCCGCGGUAAUACGUAUGGACCGAGCGUUGUCCGGAAUCAUUGGGCGUAAAGGGUACGUAGGCGGCCUAGUAAGUUAGAAGUGAAAUAAUAUAGCUCAACUAUAUAAAGCUUUUAAAACUGUUAGGCUUGAGAGAUGAAAGGGAAAGUGGAAUUCCUAGUGUAGCGGUGAAAUGCGCAGAUAUUAGGAAGAAUACCGGUGGCGAAGGCGACUUUCUGGUC
rnacentral:rRNA from 1 species